rnacentral:rRNA from 1 species
GGACAGUGUCUGAUGGGUAGUUUAACUGGGGCGGUUGCCUCCUAAAGAGUAACGGAGGCGCCCAAAGGUUCCCUCAGCCUGGUUGGCAAUCAGGUGUUGAGUGUAAGUGCACAAGGGAGCUUGACUGUGAGACCGACGGGUCGAGCAGGGACGAAAGUCGGGACUAGUGAUCCGGCGGUGGCUUGUGGAAGCGCCGUCGCUCAACGGAUAAAAGGUACCCCGGGGAUAACAGGCUGAUCUUCCCCAAGAGUCCAUAUCGACGGGAUGGUUUGGCACCUCGAUGUCGGCUCGUCGCAUCCUGGGGCUGGAGUCGGUCCCAAGGGUUGGGCUGUUCGCCCAUUAAAGCGGUACGCGAGCUGGGUUUAGAACGUCGUGAGACAGUUCGGUCCCUAUCCGCUGUGCGCGUAGGAAUAUUGAGAAGGGCUGUCCCUAGUACGAGAGGACCGGGACGGACGAACCUCUGGUGUGCCAGUUGUCCUGCCAAGGGCAUGGCUGGUUGGCUACGUUCGGGAGGGAUAACCGCUGAAAGCAUCUAAGCGGGAAGCCUGCUUCGAGAUGAGUAUUCCCACCUCCUUGAGAGGGUAAGGCUCCCAGUAGACGACUGGGUUGAUAGGCCAGAUAUGGAAGCCUGGUAACGGGUGGAGUUGACUGGUACUAAUAGGCCGAGGGCUUGUCCUCAGUUG